rnacentral:rRNA from 1 species
UACGUAGGGUGCGAGCGUUGUCCGGAAUUAUUGGGCGUAAAGAGCUUGUAGGCGGUCUGUCGCGUCUGCUGUGAAAAUCCGGGGCUCAACCUCGGACUGGCAGUGGGUACGGGCAGACUAGAGUGUGGAAGGGGAGACUGGAAUUCCGGGUGUAGCGGUGAAAUGCGCAGAUAUCAGGAGGAACACCGAUGGCGAAGGCAGGUCUCUGGGACACUACUGACGCUGAGAAGCGAAAGCAUGGGGAGCGAACAGG